AUAGAACGCUGGCGGCAUGCCUUACACAUGCAAGUCGAACGGCAGCACGGGUGCUUGCACCUGGUGGCGAGUGGCGAACGGGUGAGUAAUACAUCGGAACGUACCUUAUCGUGGGGGAUAACGCAGCGAAAGCUGUGCUAAUACUGCAUACGCCCUGAGGGGGAAAGCGGGGGAUCGAAAGACCUCGCGCGAUUAGAGCGGCCGAUGCCUGAUUAGCUUGUUGGUGGGGUAAAAGCCCACCAAGGCGACGAUCAGUAGCUGGUCUGAGAGGACGAUCAGCCACACUGGGACUGAGACACGGCCCAGACUCCUACGGGAGGCAGCAGUGGGGAAUUUUGGACAAUGGGGGCAACCCUGAUCCAGCAAUGCCGCGUGAGUGAAGAAGGCCUUCGGGUUGUAAAGCCCUUUUGUCAGGGAAGAAACACCGGCUCUAACACAGUCCGGGAAUGACGGUACCUGAAGAAUAAGCACCGGCUAACUACGUGCCAGCCGCCGCAGUAA
rnacentral:rRNA from 1 species